UACCAGCACCCCGAGUGGUCGGGACGAUUAUUGGGCCUAAAGCAUCCGUAGCCGGUUCUACAAGUCUUCCGUUAAAUCCACCUGCUUAACAGAUGGGCUGCGGAGGAUACUAUAGAGCUAGGAGGCGGGAGAGGCAAGCGGUACUUAGUGGGUAGGGGUAAAAUCCGUUGAUCCAUUGAAGACCACCAGUGGCGAAGGCGGCUUGCCAGAACGCGCUCGACGGGUGAGGGAUGGAAAGCUGGGGGAAGCAAACCGGG
rnacentral:rRNA from 1 species